GGACACAACAGGCAAUGACAAACCAAACAUGGAGGACAGAUGUGCUCAGAGCUGCAUCAGCCCCUGAAGCAGCAGAGAAAGUAGUGAGGACGCUGGACUGUGAGGUGGGAGGUAAAGAGACAUGCUGUCCACUUGUGCACUUGUAAAAUUCAUCAUCUGCCCAGGUCUACAAGGGUGUGCGCUGUCUUCACAUGCACCAGACAGACCCAGCUGACCUCACUCCGACCUCUCGGCACAUGGAGCCCAGUGAUCCCUGCAGGCUCUGGAGCACAGCCGAUGUUGAUUGGCC